GUAUUAGAGGAGGACAAGACAAUCUACAGCCAGCGUUUAGCGACUUUAACGCCUGGGUUCUCAGGCGCAGAUAUAGCUAACGUGGUAAAUGAAGCUGCUCUUCAUGCUGCUCGUGAACUUCAGGAUAAAAUUAAAAAGAAAAACUUGGAGUAUGCCAUAGAACGGGUUGUUGCUGGUCCUGAGAAGAAAACAGGAAUUUUAAAUCCUCAAG